rfam:Kiloniella sp. P1-1 contig3, whole genome shotgun sequence.
UUUACUUUGAAAUCGCGAGGUUCCCCCUGUGGGAUGAAAAGGGAAUUUGGUGAAGGCAUAUGGUAUCUUUCCAUAUGACUAAAUCCAAAGCUGCCCCCGCAACUGUAAGUGAUGAGAUAUCAUCUUGUGACCCACUGGCCUUAUAACAGGCCGGGAAGGAAAGAUAGAUAUUUAUGAUCCACGAGCCAGGAGACCUGCCAUCGCAUUUAUCAACCAU